CAGUCGUACCGACGAGAAAUCAGCUUAUCGUGUGUGAACUUGUGGGCGUGCGUGAGUUUCGGCCUCGCUGUUUGCAUGUUUGUGCGCUUUGGGUGUACUUUUUCGUAUGGUUGGCCAACAUCAGUUUCGAUUACUAUAAAAUGACUGGCGGAAUGUAGCUUCGAUUUCGGUUGAAGUGUUAUAGCCUCUGGUAGAUGUGGUGAUUGGGACUGAGGAUUGCAACGAAUAUCCUUUGGGCUAUCCGUCUGGCCUCUGAAAGUUGCUUGGGUGCUGAAAGCUUGCUUAUGGUUAUCUAAGUUAACGGUCAAUAGGUUAGAACGCGAUUACAUUCGUUAAGGAUGUUGGCGUAAUGGCUUUAAACGA
rnacentral:rRNA from 1 species